AUUAAUAUAUCUCUGUCUUUUGCCUUAUACACUAUUAAACUUCGCUCAGGAAAAUAUACACUGAGUGUACAAAACCUGACAUAGGCUGACCAAGUAAAUCAAGUUUCCUGUGUGUAUCAAGAACGGUCCACCACCCAAAGGACAUGCAGCCAACUUGACACAGCUGUGGGAAGCAUUGGAGUCAACAUGGGCCAGCAUCCCUGUGGAACGCCUUCAACACCUUAGACUCCAUGCCCCGAUGAAUUGAGGCUGUUCUGAGAAAAAGGGGGUGCAACUCAAUAUUAAUGUUUUGUACACUCAGUGUAAGUAGCCUUCAGAUAGGGGUUCCUAUAGUGAGAAAAUGUUAGUUUAUCACUCAAUAUAUAAGAAAUUAUUUUCAUAAUACUUCUAUUGAAAUCUCAGGCCCUAAAGGAGCCAUGUUGUACAGACCCAUGAUGGAAUAAUGAAUAGGAUCAUUUAUGUUUUGAGUGGUAGAUAAAUUGGUUGACGUGUCCAUUUACAUUUCAGUUAUGCAAUUUCAUUCACUUUUUAUUGGAUUUAUCCACUUGAAUCUGUUUUUACGAUCUGUGUCAACGUGUUUUGUUCUGGAUAAAAGAAUACAAGUAGUUUGCAGCACUUUAUCCAGCAUGAUGUUACACAACAACUUAUCUCUGUCUCUUCCACUCAAACAUAAGAGGUAAGAACGUGAUUCUUCCCCCUUAUUGUGUAAAUCGCUUUGAGAACCUCAGUUUGUAGAAACGUUCUAUAUAAAUCCAAUCGAUUCGUUUUAUUCAUUAUUAUUAUUUAUGGUCCAAGACACUUUUGCAACUACAGACAUGUUGUGCAAGACCCUUACUAUUCUUCUUGGUCCAUGAGAGAAAGAAUAGAAAGGUAGCAUUAUAUGUCUCUAUAUUUUAGGCUACAUUGUUCCGUUGGUUAAAAUAGAUAGAGACAAAAAAUAUUACGAAAGCACUAAAGGAGUUUACCGACUCUGUGGCCUUGUGGUUAGAGUGUCCGCCCUGAGAUGGAAAGGUUGGGAAUUCAAUUCCUCAGCCAGAUCAUACCAAAGACUGUAGAAAUGGGACCUGAUGUGUCUCUGCUUGGGACUCAGCGUUAAGGUGAUAAAUUGGGAGUAAAGCAUAACGUAUGCUUCCCAGUCGAAACAGUUUGCGCAUAUACUAUGAUUACAUUUUGUGACGUUUUUGUUUGUAUUGGUACAGGGGUUGAAACCGAAAUGAUUUCCAGUAAUUUUGUUUUGAACAGAAUCAUUAUUUUUUUAAUUCUGUUCCACUUUUCCCGAUUAACAAAAUAAUGUUCUGAACCGGUUUGAAGCCCAUACAAGUACAGGUUUAUAUCAUUCCUUUCUGUUUCUUAUUAAACCUCUGAAAUGUUAUUUUUUUUACCUUACAUUUCUUCACCAAUCAGUGCGGAUUGAGCCGCUUGUUAUGGAGCGGGUAAGCAAUUUAAUCUGUAUAGGAAAGUUGUUAAGAGCUAAUUAUAUUUUACAUGGUUUAAUCAUAAUGAAAGACAAACACACAGACUGUGCUCCUAGUCACUAUGAACAGACCAGUGUAGGGCGCGAGAUGCAACUGAAAUUGAGGAGAGAGUGAGAGAGGGUGAAGGAAGCUUGCCUUGAAGCGCCGAGCAUCUUGUUAUGACAUGCAUUACCUGAAUUAGGCCCACAGAAUUAUACCUACGGAGGAGCGGCUUUGAAUGUCUUUGAACUUCCGAGUUGGUUUAAUGAUGGACCAGAGCAAACUAGCUGGCUAACAAACUUGUGUGUGCAGAGCAGCACUAGAAUAAAAAACAUGUCUUAGCAUUUUGUUGUUAUUAAAUCCAAUGUGAAACGUGAUAAUUAUAGUAUACUUUACUAGUAUUGAAAAAGUCAAUCCAUUCUUCUCUAAUUAAACUUCUCUCCUGAAUUUCUGAAUUACACAUGUAACGUUGUCAGUAGCAUACAGUAACCUAUGUUUCAGAGGGGGAGAGGCAGGGAGCCAACAUACAGCACACCCACUGGCAAAGAUUUCCAGUUGGCAGGCAAACGAUAGAAUAAGUUUCUAAGUGACAGAGUGAGGGCUUUGCAUAGGCGCUUUGCUGUAAUUUUUGUGGGACUGGGAAAAAAUGCCCAGAAUGUAAAAGAAUGUUGAUAACUGGUUCCCAUGCUUUUAAAAUAAUGGUUCUGUUUCGGGAACAGUAUAGCUCACUUUAGUUUCCGGUUCGGAUUCAGUUCCUCGAGAAUUUUGUUAUUUUCCGGUUUUCGGUUCUGUUCCCUGAACCGGUUCUAACCCCUGGUUUGGUGUUGGGCAGUGUUCAGGUCUUUUUUGGGCUGUACUAGAACACAUUUAUUUUUCUUUAGGCUUGUCGAACUUCGGUAGCCAAGUCAGCACCUCUUCGUUGGUGACUGGUCAAGAGUAGGGAUCCUUCAAUUAAAUGUUUGUUGUCAUUCAACGACAGAGGACUAGUUUUAAAGCACAUUUUUUUCACUUGAAAAAUACUGCACCAAACAUCUUAAUUAGAUGUAAAAUUGCGUGACUCCUCUGCAAAAAUGUCCAAAUGAAUUACACAUAUCUUGAGUUAUCUUAGAUUAAUUCAGACUAUUUUGAGGAAGUGAACAUGAUACUACAGCAACUCAAGAGGGACAAACAGGACCUCCUGAGUGGCGCAGUGAUCUAUGGCACUGCAUCGCGGUGCUGAGGUGUCCCUACAGCCUCGGGUUUGAUCCCAGCCUGUGUCACAGCCGAUCGUGACCGGGAGACCCUCCGAGGCGAUGCACAAUUGGCACAGCGUCGUCGGGGUUUGGGGAGGUUUUGGCCGGCCAGAAUUUCCUUGUCCAUCAUGCUCUAGUGACUCCAUGUGGUGGCCGGUUGCCUGCAAGCUGACUUCGGUUGUCAGUAGGACGGUGUUUCCUCUGACACUUUGGUGCGGCUGACUUCCAGGUUUAGUGAGCAGUGCGGCUUGGCGGGGUCAUGUUUUGGAGGAUGCAUGGCUCUCGACCUUUGCCUCUCCCGAGUCCAUAGGGGAGUUGCAGCAAUGAGCCAAGACUGUAAUUACCAAUGGGAUAAGACAAAAUUGGAGAGAAAAAAAGGUUAAAAAAAGAAGGGCAAACAGUAAUAUUGCCACUUUUUCAAGGGAGAAUGCGAGCACAGAUGUUCACUUCUCAUAGCCGAAUUCUUCUAGGAGUAAACCGAAUGUAUGUGGACGACUUAAGGUCUUCCUGUCUGGGUUGGCGCCCCCCCCUUGGGUUGUGCCGUGGCGGAGAUCUUUGUGGGCUAUACUCGGCCUUGUCUUAGGACGGUAAGUUGGUGGUUGGAGACAUCCCUCUAGUGGUGUGGGGGCUGUGCUUUGGCAAAGUGGGUGGGGUUAUAUCCUGCCUGUUUGGCCCUGUCUGGGGGUAUCAUUGGAUGGGGCCACAGUGUCUCCUGACCCCUCCUGUCUCAGCCUCCAGUAUUUAUGCUGCAGUAGUUUAUGUGUCGGGGGGCUAGGGUCAGUCUGUUACAUCUGGAGUAUUUCUCUUGUCUUAUCCGGUGUCCUGUGUGAAUUUAAAUAUGCUCUCUCUAAUUCUCUUUCUCUCUUUCUUUCUUUCUCUCGGAGGACCUGAGCCCUAGGACCAUGCCUCAGGACUACCUGGCAUGAUGACUCCUUGCUGUCCCCAGUCCACCUGGCCAUGCUGCUGCUCCAGUUUCAACUGUUCUGCCUGCGGCUAUGGAACCCUGACCUGUUUACCGGACGUGCUUGUUGCCCCCUCGACAACUACUAUGAUUAUUAUUAUUUUACCAUGCUGGUCAUUUAUGAACAUUUUAACAUCUUGACCAUGUUCUGUUAUAAUAUCCACCCGGCACAGCCAGAAGAGGACUGGCCACCCCUCAUAGCCUGGUUCCUCUCUAGGUUUCUUCCUAGGUUUUUGGCCUUUCUAGGGAGUUUUUCCUAGGGAGUUUUUCCUAGCCACCGUGCUUCUUUCACAUGCAUUGCUUGCUGUUUGGGGUUUUAGGCUGGGUUUCUGUACAGCACUUUGGGAUAUCAGCUGAUGUACGAAGGGCUAUAUAAAUAAAUUUGAAAAAUAAAUUUGAUAGCACUUGUACUGUCACGUCCUGACCAGUAUAAGGGUUAUUUGUUAUUGUAGUUUGGUCAGGAUGUGGCAGAGGGUAUUUUGUUUAUGUGUUUCGGGGUGGUGGUGUAUGUAGUAGGGUGUUUGAUUUAUUAUUUCCGGGUUUCGGUCUAUGUUCUAUGUUUUGUAUUUCUAUGUUCUUUCUGGUUUGUUGUAUUUCUAUGUUUAGGUUGAUGGGGGGUUGGACUCUCAAUGGAGGCAGGUGCUUUCUCGUUGCCUCUGAUUGAGAGUCCUAUAUAUGGGUAAUUGUUUGGUUUGGUGUUUGUGGGAGAUUGUUUCUUGUUGUGCUGAGUGUGCCUGACAAGCUGUUUUUGUUGUUCGUGCGUUCUUUGUUUGUUAUUUUGGUGUUCUCUUGAUUUAAAAUAAAUACAAGAUGAGCAUCCACAUUCCUGCUGCGUUUUGGUCCUCCAUUCCCGACGACAACCGUUACAUGUACAGUGUAUUGGGAAAGUAUUCAGACCGCUUUAC
rnacentral:lncRNA from 1 species